GCGCAGCAGUCGAGAAUUUUUCACAAUGGGGGAAACCCUGAUGGAGCGACGCCGCGUGGAGGAUGAAGGCCCUUGGGUUGUAAACUCCUGUCAUAAGGGAACAAGAAAGUGAUAGUACCUUAAGAGGAAGAGACGGCUAACUCUGUGCCAGCAGCCGCGGUAAUACAGAGGUCUCAAGCGUUGUUCGGAUUCAUUGGGCGUAAAGGGUGCGCAGGCUGUGUGGUAAGUCAGAUGUGAAAUUUAGAGGCUUAACCUCUAAACUGCAUUUGAUACUGCCAUGCUAGAGGACUGUAGAGGAGAUUGGAAUUCACGGUGUAGCAGUGAAAUGCGUAGAUAUCGUGAGGAAGACCGGUGGCGAAGGCGAAUCUCUGGGCAGUUCCUGACGCUCAUGCACGAAGGCUAGGGGAGCAAACGGGAUUAGAUACCCCCGUAGUCC
rnacentral:rRNA from 1 species